rnacentral:rRNA from 1 species
UACGUAGGGGCAAGCGUUGUCCGGAAUCAUUGGGCGUAAAGAGCGUGUAGGCGGCCCGAUAAGUCCGCUGUGAAAGUCCAGGGCUCAACCCUGGAAUGCCAGUGGAAACUGUCGGGCUAGAGUCCGGAAGAGGCGAGUGGAAUUCCUGGUGUAGCGGUGAAAUGCGCAGAUAUCAGGAGGAACACCGGUGGCGAAGGCGGGUCUCUGGGCCGAUACUGACGCUGAGGAGCGAAAGCGUGGGAGCGAACAGG